rnacentral:rRNA from 1 species
AACGAACGCUGGCGGCGUGCCUAACACAUGCAAGUCGUGCGAGAAAGUUCCUUCGGGAGCGAGUAAAGCGGCGCACGGGUGAGUAACACGUAGGUAACCUGCCCCCCAGUCUGGAACAACUAGAGGAAACUCUAGCUAAUGCCGGAUGAGACCACGAUCCCUUCGGGGGUUGCGGCCAAAGAUGGCCUCUACUUGUAAGCUAUCGCUGAGGGAUGGGCCUGCGGGCCAUUAGCUUGUUGGUGAGGUAACGGCUCACCAAGGCUGUGAUGGCUAGCUGGUCUGAGAGGAUGACCAGCCACACUGGGACUGAGACACGGCCCAGACUCCUACGGGAGGCAGCAGUGGGGAAUAUUGCGCAAUGGGCGAAAGCCUGACGCGGCGACGCCGCGUGGGUGAUGAAGGCCU